CUUGUAAUGUUUCCACAUUUUAAUAGAUCGACAACUUGAUCAGCCGAAAUCAUUUAUUCAAGCGGAGUAUCAUAUUGAUAAAGGCAUGGUGUUUCUACGAGAGUCGUAUUCUUGGAGCUCACCAUGGUCUUAUAUCUACCUACGCAUUGGAGACACUGGUUCUGUACAUAUUUCAUAUAUUCAACAAUUCUUUUACUGGACCUCUUGAGGUUUUGUACCGUUUCUUAGAAUUUUUCAGCAACUUUGAUUGGGAGAAAUUUUGUUUGAGCUUGUGGGGGCCAGUUCCUAUAAGUUCACUUCCAGAUAUGACUGCGGAACCUCCGCGGAAGGAUAGUGGUGAAUGUUUGCUGAACAAGUCCUUCCUGGAUACGUGUAGUUCUGCGUAUGGAGUUAUGCCUCACACCCAGGAUAAUCAGGGUCAACCAUUUGUUUCCAAACAAUUCAAUGUUAUUGAUCCUUUACGCACAAACAACAAUCUUGGAAGAAGUG